rnacentral:rRNA from 1 species
UGGGGAAUUUUGGACAAUGGGCGAAAGCCUGAUCCAGCAAUGCCGCGUGUGUGAAGAAGGCCUUCGGGUUGUAAAGCACUUUUGUCCGGAAAGAAAUCCUUGGCUCUAAUACAGUCGGGGGAUGACGGUACCGGAAGAAUAAGCACCGGCUAACUACGUGCCAGCAGCCGCGGUAAUACGUAGGGUGCAAGCGUUAAUCGGAAUUACUGGGCGUAAAGCGUGCGCAGGCGGUUUGCUAAGACCGAUGUGAAAUCCCCGGGCUCAACCUGGGAACUGCAUUGGUGACUGGCAGGCUAGAGUAUGGCAGAGGGGGGUAGAAUUCCACGUGUAGCAGUGAAAUGCGUAGAGAUGUGGAGGAAUACCGAUGGCGAAGGCAGCCCCU